rnacentral:rRNA from 1 species
UUAUUUCAAAGAUUAAGCCAUGCAUGUCUAAGCAUGAGCUAAAUCAAAGUGAAGCCGCGAAUAGCUCAUUACAAUAGCCGUUGUUUCUUGGAUCCUAACUUUACUUGGAUACCUGUGGUAAUUCUAGAGCUAAUACAUGCGACUAAGAGCCGACCUCACGGGACGCUUGCAUUUAUUAAAUCAAGACUAACCGGCUUCGGCCGUUACUUGGUGACUCUGAAUAACUGAGCUGAUCGCACGGUCUAGUGCCGGCGACAUAUCUUUCAAGUGUCUACCUUAUCAACUUUCGAUGGUAGUUUAUGUGACUACCAUGGUUGUAACGGGUAACGGAGAAUCAGGGUUUGACUCCGGAGAGGGAGCCUGAGAAACGGCUACCACUUCUAAGGAAGGCAGCAGGCGCGCAAAUUACCCAUUCUCGGCAUGAGGAGGUAGUGACGAAAAAUACCGAGGCGAUGCCCUUUCGGGUGUCGUCAUUGGAAUGAGAAAAAUAUAAAUCUUUUAAGAGGAUCUAGUGGAGGGCAAGUCUGGUGCCAGCAGCCGCGGUAAUUCCAGCUCCGCAAGUGUAUAUCUAUGCUGCUGCGGUUAAAAAGCUCGUAGUUUGAUUCGCGUACUUAGCACGCAGUGUGGCCUGACGGCUACUACUGUGAUGCGGUACAUUAUCGUUGGUUUGCCGUUGAUGCUCUUAAUCGGGUGUCGGCGGCUGCUGACAAGUUUACUUUGAACAAAUUAAAGUGCUCAAAACAGGCGUUUUCGCUUGUAUAGUUUUGCAUGGAAUAAUAGAAUAGGACUUUUGUUCUAUUUUGUUGGUUUUCAGAACGAAAGUAAUGAUUAAGAGGGAAAGGACGGGGGCAUUCGAAUUGCGACGUUAGAGGUGAAAUUCUUGGAUCGUCGCAAGACGGACAACUGCGAAAGCAUUUGCCAAGAAUGUUUUCAUUAAUCAAGAACGAAAGUUAGAGGUUCGAAGGCGAUCAGAUACCGCCCUAGUUCUAACCGUAAACGAUGCCAACUAGCGAUUCGCCGGCGUUAGUUUACGACCCGGCGGGCAGCUUCCCGGAAACGAAAGUCUUCCGGUUCCGUGGGAAGUAUGGUUGCAAAGCUGAAACUUAAAGGAAUUGACGGAAGGGCACCACCAGGAGUGGAGCCUGCGGCUUAAUUUGACCCAACACGGGAAAACUCACCAGGUCAGAACACCGUAAGGAUUGACAGAUUGAUCGCUCUUUCUUGAUUCGGUGGGUGGUGGUGCAUGGCCGUUCUUAGUUGGUGGAGUGAUUUGUCUGGUUUAUUCCGAUAACGAACGAGACUCUAGCCUGCUAAAUAGCGAGCGGAUAAAUUUGUCCGCAAUACUUCUUAGAGGGACAAGCGGUGUUGAGCCGCACGAGAUUGAGCAAUAACAGGUCUGUGAUGCCC